CCGCGUUGCGCUUCUCUUCAACAACUUCCUCCUGAAACCGAAAGCAAAGUUUUCCACCGUUUCUUCUGCUCGGUUCGUCGGUGCCUCGAGUGAGCAGACAUGUCGGUUAAAAAGCUGCUGCUUGACGUUCUGGAAAAUUUGGUUCAAGACGACUUCAAACGCUUUAAGUGGCACCUCACUGAGGUCGGCGUUGAAGGCUUCGAACCGAUUUAUAAGAGCCGCCUGGAGAACGCGGACCGAACAGACACCGUGGGAACGAUUGUAGAGCGCUACGGCGAACAAGAAGCCGUGAAGAUCACUGUGGAGGUUCUGAAGCUCAUUGGCAACUGUGACGCUGCAGAGAAGUUAAGGAACGAAUACAAAGCAGGGGGAGGGGAAGCUUCAUCCUCUGCAUCUGCUGCAGCACCUCCUGCUCCUGCGUCCACCAUGACGGCUCGGGAACAAAGUGUGCUCAUCGCCCCGUCGUUCGCAGGUGCCAAUGUUGGGACAUUGAAUAUACACGUACAAAAAUAGCCAUGAAAGAAAUCUACGUCGACACAAGGGAAUACACAUUCAGUUUUUUUCAAUUUAAUUCCAUUUUUUUGUUAUUGCCCAGAUUGACAUUUACUGUGAUUCACCACAAACAAUCAACCCUCUGCUAAGCCCCUCCCCCUCGCCGCUACUCUCUUAAGUUUAAGUUGUAAAAAUUAAUUUCAGAGUUAAACAGACAGAAGGUUCUACAAUAUAUUUUGGAAGAUUUUUAUCCUGGAUGGAAUUGAUUUGGCGGUGAAAAACGGUUACAGAAAUAAAGAUUAAAGUGAACCACUGUUCCAGUUAAGCCAAGUAGAUCUUCAUUCACCCUUUUAGCAAAUGUUUGUGUUUGUUUUAUUCAUAUAUAUAUAUAUCAAAGCAACAGAAUAAUUAAGUUGGUUAAUUAAAACCAACGUUGCCAAAGGCUGAGUCUAUUUAAGGACACCAGUACCCCCCCCCUCCCCCCCGAAAAGGUGUGGAAUAAAAAAAUGUUUUUGUUAAAUUGUUUGUUUGUUAUUUUUCCACGCCGGGCAGUUCCACGCUGAUGCAUGCGUGAAUAUGUCCGUGUGGCGUUUGCACCAGCGGAAUGACUACACCCCCCCUCCCGUCCCCGUCACCGCCCCCGCUUGGCCAAACUGUUCGCCCGACUACUACCCUCCCCCCUCCCACUGAAGUUGUAAACCUAGGAGGGUCACUGGACGCCGAUUGGAUAAAUUGUAUGUUUUUUAUUUAAUCAGCAACUAGCUAAAGUUCUUAGACCCGCCUUCUGCGGGCAAACCUUGAGCUUGCCCCGAGCGAACGCGCAUGAAGACGUGUGUAUGACAGGCAGGGGCGUGCGGGAAAAGCAUAUAUUUUGGGCACGUAUCAUAUUUGACAAAUAUUACUGGGUACAUUACAUAUUUCAAAAACAUAAAUACUGACAUUUUUAUCAUUUAAUAUUAUCUUUUCUUUUUUUUUUCCUCUUUUUUGGGGGGGCUUGAGGGGCGCUUCAGGUGGCCGGUCAUGUUCUCAGAAAUUAUCUGGGGGAAAAAAGCUUAAAAAGUGACCCGAUUAAGUGAGGAAUCAAAUAAUUGUCAAUUCAUGACACCACUAAAGCAGCCGUCUCAGGUAAAAAAACAAAAACAAUAAAGGCUUUUAAUUGAGCUCAUUACCCAACACAGCUUCUCCUUUAAAUGACUUCUAGUGUGUUUUAGGCGAGAACGAAACCCUUUAAAUUCCAAUGAAUGAAGUUGUAGUGGCCGGCUAUGACCAGAUGAGGGCGCACUGAUAUAUGAUGUUAUGAUAUUCGGUGAUGUUAUGAUAUUCGGUGACGUUAUGAUAUACGUGUGAUGUUAUGAUAUACGUGUGGGAAGAAGUAUAAUAAAAGCUGAGUUGCAUCCUGAUGGUUGUGUUCUUAAGUACCAAGAAUAAAGGCACAAUACAGAAGUGUAUCCAUAUAACGCCCGUGUGGAGGUUUACAUGGCGUCAGAGUAAUUGGUUCAAUUAUCAUCAGUUAUUAGAAUAGCACAAUUAAUGUGUGCUGUUGUAUGUUUUUUUCUUUCUGCAAUGUUGUUCUUCUCUUUUACAUGUAUUAAAUACACAUUAAGAGAUGUACACGAUUUGUUUCCCCUUUUCAUUGCUAACAUCACAAUACUCCUGACGUUACAAUCAUACAUUCUUCUAUUAUUUUACUUUCAAAGUUGAAUGAGAAAUAAAAAUGUCUCCAGUCGACAGAGUUGACUAAUGUGGCUGAUUCCCAACAACAUUGAUCUGUUGAUUCAUGUCUGUAGUUUAGAAAGAACCGGUGGCGCCACUUUCUGCGUUUUCUCCACGUUGCGCUUCUCUUCAACAACUUCCUCCUGAAACCGAAAGCAAAGUUUUCCACCGUUUCUUCUGCUCGGUUCGUCGGUGCCUCGAGUGAGCAGACAUGUCGGUUAAAAAGCUGCUGCUUGAGGUUCUGGAAAAUUUGGUUCAAGACGACUUCAAACGCUUUAAGUUGCACCUCACUGAGGUCGGCGUUGAAGGCUUCGAACCGAUUUAUAAGAGCCGCCUGGAGAACGCGGACCGAACAGACACCGUGGGAACGAUUGUAAAGAGCUACGGCGAACAAGUGGCCGUGAAGAUCACUGUGGAGGUUCUGAAGCUCAUUGGCAACUGUGACGCUGCAGAGAAGUUAAGGAACGAAUACAAAGCAGGGGGAGGGGAAGCGUCAUCCUCUGCAUCUGCUGCAGCACCUCCACCAUGACGGCUCGGGAACAAAGUGUGCUCAUCGCCCCGUCGUUCGCAGGUGCCACCGUUGGGACAUUGAAUAUACACGUACAAAAAUAGCCAUGAAAGAAAUCUACGUCGACACAAGGGAAUACACAUGCAGUUUUUUUCAAUUUAAUUCCAUUUUUUUGUUAUUGCCCAGAUUGACAUUUACUGUGAUUCACCACAAACAAUCAACCCUCUGCUAAGCCCCUCCCCCUCGCCGCUCCUCUCUUAAGUUUAAGUUGUAAAAAUUAAUUUCAGAGUUAAACAGACAGAAGGUUCUACAAUAUAUUUUGGAAGAUUUUUAUCCUGGAUGGAAUUGAUUUGGCGGUGAAAAACGGUUACAGAAAUAAAGAUUAAAGUGAACCACUGUU